AUGUCGGCCAACAUCAUCAAGACUGCCAUGGCUAUGGGAAUCCGGUGGAAGAGGACCUCUCGGAUGUUAUUACGUGGAAGCAGAUCUACGAGUUGAUUACUAUGAUUACCUACUUGAUAGUGGUAUCUCUUUGGGUUUUCAAACAUGUAUUCUUUCGCAUGAUAAGUGAUCAGCUCAAGUGUAUCGCCCCAGCAUUUUGAUUCGCUACGACGUAGGUUCACUCGCAAGUUUCAGACGUCGAUAAUGAUCGGAGAGAAGGUCGUUACACCAUUCUUUUAAAUGGGAAUACUUUUUUAUAAUUGUACUAUUUAUUUGAUGCACAAAACAAGUUUGAUGCUAUUAAAAGUCUUUUACAAAUAAUAUAGAGACUUCGAUUGACAUUAUGCUAGUGCUAAUAAAAUCACCUUUCAAAGAAAAAAAAAA